CAGUAGCCACGGGAAUACGAAGGGUGCAAGCGUUACUCGGAAUUACUGGGCGUAAAGCGUGCGUAGGUGGUCGUUUAAGUCUGUUGUGAAAGCCCUGGGCUCAACCUGGGAACUGCAGUGGAAACUGGACGACUAGAGUGUGGUAGAGGGUAGCGGAAUUCCUGGUGUAGCAGUGAAAUGCGUAGAGAUCAGGAGGAACAUCAGUGGCGAAGGCGGCCAUCUGGGACAACACUGACGCUGAGGCACGAAAGCGUGGGGAGCAAACAGGAUUAGAGACCCCUGUAGUCCCUGUCUCUUAUAC
rnacentral:rRNA from 1 species